AUGGCCACUGCAGAAGAGUGGCACAGCAGUAUAAUGAACCUUCAACUAGUUCUAGCGUGGAAUCUGGUGACCUGUCUCAACAAUGACCCUUUUCAAACAUAUGAACUACUUAAUCUGAAAUUUCAGGGCAGACAUUGGGACUAUGCUGGUAUGCAGAGUAUCAUCUGCCAAGAAAUCUGUGCAGAGAGCAAAUUUACAAGGAUGGCAGACUUCAAAGCACCGGGGUCAGAGGUAAUUGAACCACACAAGAACAGACAUCUGAAGUUUCAGGAAGAGCCUCUGCCAGGGAGGCUGCGACUGAAAGCAUUUUGCCAAGGUUGAGUAGGAUGGCAUCCAGAACUGGGGACUAUUACCACAAUAUCACUCUUGGAGUCCAAAAAAAUUAAAAAGGAUUUAAAAAUCAUUAAACUGAACUCUUGACUAGCGAAGCUUUGGUAUUCGGCUAAGGCAUUUGAUAGGAAAACCUUCCUUAGCAACCAGUCAGUCAUGAUCUCUUGGCUAUGUUCACGCGUGUCUUCAUCAUCCCUUCAGAUUUUUGCAUUUUUUUCUGUACACCCCA
rnacentral:lncRNA from 1 species